rnacentral:rRNA from 1 species
UAAGUUAAGUUAGAAAGGGCGCACGGUGGAUGCCUUGGCACUAGGAGCCGAUGAAGGACGGGAUUAACACCGAUAUGCUUUGGGGAGCUGUAAGUAAGCUUUGAUCCAGAGAUUUCCGAAUGGGGAAACCCUCUAUCCRUAAUGGGAUAGAAUCUUUACCUGAAUACAUAGGGUACUGAAGGCAGACCCGGGGAACUGAAACAUCUAAGUACCCGGAGGAAGAGAAAGCAAACGCGAUUCCCUGAGUAGCGGCGAGCGAAACGGGAUUAGCCCAAACCAAGAGGCUUGCCUCUUGGGGUUGUAGGACACUCUAUAUGGAGUUACAAAGGAACGGGGUAGACGAAUCGAUCUGGAAAGGUCAGUCGUAGAAGGUAAAAACCCUGUAGUCGAAACUUCGUUCCCUCUUGAGUGUAUCCUGAGUACGGCGGGACACGAGAAAUCCCGUCGGAAGCAGGGAGGACCAUCUCCCAAGGCUAAAUACUCCCUAGUGACCGAUAGUGAACCAGUACCGUGAGGGAAAGGUGAAAAGCACCCCGGAAGGGGAGUGAAAUAGAUCCUGAAACCGUGUGCCUACAAGUAGUUAGAGCCCAUUUAUGGGUGAUAGCGUGCCUUUUGUAGAAUGAACCGGCGAGUUACGAUUACAUGCGAGGUUAAGUUGAAGAGACGGAGCCGCAGCGAAAGCGAGUCUGAAUAGGGCGAAAUAGUAUG